rnacentral:rRNA from 1 species
CGCGUAGGCGGCUUUUCAAGCGUGCGGUGAAAGCUCGGGGCUUAACUCCGAGUCUGCCGUGCGAACUGGGAGGCUUGAGUCUGGUAGAGGUCGAUGGAAUUCCGGGUGUAGCGGUGGAAUGCGUAGAGAUCCGGAAGAACACCGGUGGCGAAGGCGGUCGACUGGGCCAGUACUGACGCUGAGGCGCGACAGCGUGGGGAGCAAACA